GUCAUUUUCAUUAGUCUAUUGUCAAAACAAAACAGGAAAAUGCUAUAAUAAUAGGAUAAGUAAGAUUAAAACCAACGACUACGAGGGAACGACGGAUCCUGAUUGUAUAGUAAUGCUUGGUAGUCUCUUUUGUAUUCCGGGCUGUAUAUGCGAAGUAUCACCCUGUCCGUGCUGCGCGUGCUAGUGGACCGGAGCAGGACCUCGUUAGUACCAUGAAUACCAUGGGGUUAAACAAGGGCGUGUUUACGAAGUGUGCAUUUAAUAUGUUUAAAAUAUAAUAAAGUCAAAUUAAAUACUU